rnacentral:rRNA from 1 species
GACGAACGCUGGCGGCGUGCUUAACACAUGCAAGUCGAACGGAAAGGCCCUGCUUUUGUGGGGUGCUCGAGUGGCGAACGGGUGAGUAACACGUGAGUAACCUCCCCUUGACUUUGGGAUAACUUCAGGAAACUGGGGCUAAUACCGGAUAGGAGCUCCUGCUGCCUGGUGGGGGUUGGAAAGUUUCGGCGGUUGGGGAUGGACUCGCGGCUUAUCAGCUUGUUGGUGGGGUAGUGGCUUACCAAGGCUUUGACGGGUAGCCGGCCUGAGAGGGUGACCGGCCACAUUGGGACUGAGAUACGGCCCAGACUCCUACGGGAGGCAGCAGUGGGGAAUAUUGCACAAUGGGCGGAAGCCUGAUGCAGCAACGCCGCGUGCGGGAUGACGGCCUUCGGGUUGUAAACCGCUUUCGCCUGUGACGAAGCGUGAGUGACGGUAAUGGGUAAAGAAGCACCGGCUAACUACGUG